AUCGCCGUCGCCGUCGCCGCCGUCGCUAUCGUCGGCCGUCAAGCGCCGAUCCGUGUGAGAACCGAUUUUUCGCUCUUAAACGACUCUAGGUCACGGAUCACCGUGAUCUCCCCGCGACCCUUCGACUCGUAGUGGAUAUAUAAUAUUAAUCUCUGUGAGAGAAAGAUCGGUCCAACGACUUCCGAAUCCGAAUAUACGAAACGGAAAUAACGAUUAUUGGAACACGCCGGGUCCCGAAGCGCCACUCCGAGCAGUAGACUCUCGAGAUUCGGAGUUUUCCGAGAGACGCCAAGGCGUCCUCGGGAGAAAUAACCCCAUAGCGCGUCGAAACGGAGCGCGUCAACGAUCGUUUCAACGAGAGGACGAAAGAUUAAAAAGCCUAAGAGCGAAAGAUCGCGAGGAUCCAGCAACAACUCACUUUGCCGUUAGCGAGUCAUGCACCUCGUUGAGAGGGUGACGACGAACUUGCCGAAGAGCGGCUCGACACGGCGAUCUCACUUGCCUAGAGACAAGUUCUGAACCUGUAGUAGCAGCCUAAACACAACCAGUGAUCUUCCUACAGAUAUAUAUAUAUACAGAUAUAUAUAUAUAUAUCUACAUAGAUGUAUAUACUAUAGGUGUAUAUACUACACCAUGUACAGGUGUAUAUAUACACACACGUACAUAUUGCAUAUACUCUGACCGUCGUACGCGCGUCUAUUUUUGUUGUCACCGUCACGCGCCGCGCAAGAAAGCGGCCUAAGGAAGCGGCAGAAUAUCGUAAAGUUCCAAAGUAUCACUUGUUAACGAACACGAGAUCACCCGCACCGAGGAAAGAGGAGAGAAAGAAAGAGAGAGAGCGAGACAAUGAAGAAAAAGUCAAUGGAGAGAAGUAAGAAGGAGGCGAGGGUAUAACAAACAAUCGUGACCAGCACAAUAAUAAACGAUCUUAUAAGAACACAGAGAAUAAUAUAAUUAACGAUAGCGAUAAAAAAA